rnacentral:rRNA from 1 species
AUUGAACGCUGGCGGCAUGCCUUACACAUGCAAGUCGAACGGCAGCAUGAUCUAGCUUGCUCGAUUGAUAGCGAGUGGCGAACGGGUGAGUAAUACAUCGGCACGUGCCCUGUAGUGGGGGAUAACUAGUCGAAAGAUCAGCUAAUACCGCAUACGACCUGCGACAGAGCGUGGGGGACCGAAAGGCCUCUUGCUAUACAAUUGGCCGAUGUCUGAUUAGCCAGUUGGUGAGGUAAAGGCUCACCAAGGCGACGAUCAGUAGCUGGUCUGAGAGGAGGAUCAGCCACACUGGGACUGAGACACGGCCCAGACUCCUACGGGAGGCAGCAGAGGGGAAUUUUGGAAAAUGGGCGAAAGCCGGAUCCAGCAAGGCCGGGUGUGUGAAGAAGGCUUUCGGGUUGUAAAGCACUUUUGUCCGGAAAGAAAUGGCUCUGGUUAAUACCUGGGGUCGAUGACGGUACCGGAAGAAUAAGGACCGGCUAACUACGUG